CAUUUGCGAUAGAGCAAAUGUUGCUUCUGUUUAUAAAGGCUAUAUAAGCUAAAAGCAAAUGUCAUAUCUUUCACACACACAUAUACCCAGCCAGCACUAGUCAGCCGAUCUUUGGAGAUUUCUGUUGUUCAUCAACCCUAACUAGACAUCAUGGACUCUAUGGAGCAUGGUGAACGUGGAAAGCAGGGAUCUGAGAGACAGAGACGAGGUCCCCAAAAGCAUGACGAGCACGUGGAGACAAUAGCUCACAAGGAAGAAGGACACAGAGACCAAAGCGAGAACCAGAAUGAAAGCACAAAAUCGGAAGGUCAAGAGUGCACUCAAGAGUAACCUUCACAAAAAGUGUCGUCUUUUGUUGAAAGUCCUAAUGUACAUUUCUAUUAGCGCAUAUAGACGUCGAUGCUUAUUCUGUUGCUUUUUCUUGCAAGGUCGUUAAUUUCGGUAUAAUUUGACCAAGAUAAUUUGACCUUGCUCUGAUUGAAGCUAUUGUUUGAAUAAUAUCUUGUAUUAUUUUGGUAAUUAGAAAUUUUUGGAUUUCAGGCGUAUGCUCGAAAGAAAAUAAUUUUGGUUUAUUAUUCAGAAAAUAAAAUAUGUUGUAGUUGUA